CUAUUGCAAAUAAAGAAAUUAAAUUAUAAUUUUUGUUAUAUUUUAAAAAUUAAAUAUUAUUUUUAAAUUAUUAAUUUAAUAAUUCAGAUAUAUAUAAUUAGUAAUUUUCUUGUCUCUCGCCUAACCCACGCAUUGUUCCUCUCUACUCUCUAUUUUUGUCUUUCUCACCCUCUUAAUGAAAGAUAAUGGGUGGAAUCUACAUGAGAACCUCACCACCCACAAUUCUUUUAUUAUACUCCUCUUCAUUCUUCCAAUUCCCCCAAUUUAAGCCUCUACACCCUCCCAAACCCUAAUCUUUUCCCUAACACAUUUCCUUCGCUUCACUAGGCUGUUCUCGGCUCUGUUAUUGGUAAAUUUCUAUCAACUUCUCUUUCCCUGCUACUAUUUUUUUUUUCUUUUAUUUCCUUUCUUCUCCAGUUUUCCCCUCCUAUCCUUUUCAAUGCUCUCAUGUAUUUGAUUGUACAAUAAUAUAUGGAUUUUGCAUUGUUCCAUCGACUGUAUACUGUGAUUUGUAUUUAGAUUUAGCUUUUCAUUAGUUGUGAUUUUUUUUUUUUUUGGAAUUGGAUUUGAAUUUGGAUUGUUCAUGGAAUACGAUAUGUUCCUUGCAGCUGGAUAAAAAAAAAAAUUUUUGCUAUAACACUCAAAUUUCAAUAUAACUAUGGACAAAAUUUACCCAACAUAAUAAACCAGAGAAGUGACUGAAAAGGACAAAGCCACUUGUUUAUCAAACUCCAGAGAAUCCUAAGUGCUUUAAAUUGAUAGGAGCUACUGGUAGUAGAACCGGUCAAGUGGCAAUCAAUUUAAUCAGAAAACUUCAGAAGAAAAAACAAUAAAACUGCCUGGAAUUAGGGACAAAGUGUAAUUGUCAUUAAUAGUAAUAAUUCUAUAAUAUCACUUAUCCAGCUUUAGAUUAUCAAAUCUAUGCACAGGGGGGCAAUGCUGUGAUUUGUAUAUCUUACUUUACAUAUAAUAAAUAAUAAUAGAGGCUACUCAACUCAUAAACCAAAUUAGAGAAAAGCAAAAGGGCCCUAAAAUUUGGAUUGAGAUAGCCAGCUAUUUCCCACGAGGCAAGAUGGGCUUAGAUUUUGACAUCCUAACCUCCCAAAAAAGCUACAGUAAAUAACAUGAAAACAGAAAAUACACUUUGUCAUCGACCACACAGUGUUAAAUUUAUGUUAAAUUUAUGUUAAAUAACUGCCACCUGCUGGCCAAAACAAGGGCAACAGACAAGUACCUAACAAGAUGGACAAAUUGUACAAUUAUGUUAAAUUUAUUUGUAUGCUAAAAUAAUGAUGCUUAAUCGUCUUGUUAAUCCCCACAACCACCAACAGAAGGUGAAUAUGCCCCCCAUUUUUCUGUUUGAAUCCCCAAGUUGUGUUGUGAGGGGCCAAUUUUGCUGGCAGCAAGACUAAUAAGCUAUGUCAAAUGGGGAAGUAGCAAAAUUUAAAGAUAUGCAAAAGACCCAUAAAAACAAAAUGGCAAAACAUAAUUAAAAUCAGAAUGAAAUUAAAGAGUGAAAGGGAAAGGAGUGAGUGGUACCCAGAUACCAUUCAUACAUGUCAGAAACCAUGUGAUAUUGUGGUCCUCACCCAUUCAUGUCCACCUACAGAGGGUACACAGUGAGGAAAAACAGAAAGACCCCACUCCCAUAUAUCAGUUCAUCUGUCCUUUUAUGUAUGCAUUAUGUAUUCAUUGUAAGUAGUAUGUAUUGAUGAUGAUGGUGAUCUUGCUGAGAUCUUGUCUACAGAUCUUUUUCUUUGUUGUGAGUAUGGUUUUUGGCUAUACAGCUAGAGGAUUUCUUUUUCUUCCUUGUAUAUGCUUUCCAAUAUUUCCUAGCAAAGUCAAUCUCCCCGUUGCUGGCCAUGCUCACCUUUUGCCAACUACAUGCCAAUGGUACCAGGCCCAGAAGAAAGCUCGUUUCAUCAACCUCCAAAGCAGCAGUUGAGAAGACAGUGUGGUCGCCAGAUGAUUUCUUGGGAGAAGUAAAAAGGUUAUCGGGAAGGAUAUGCUCCAAACUUUCAUGAAGAUCACUUUCUUCAGUGUUGGUCUUCUCGUCCGUACUACAACUACUACUAUUGCUAUUGCCGUUACUGUGCUUGCUAGCUGGAUUCGCUUCCUGUUCAGCGUCCAGAAACGCAUUUCGAGAAGCUGAUGCAUCUGGGUUACCACCAUUCUCUUCGGGAACUUCUUGAUCAAUGCCAUCAGCUGGAAAAAUGAGGUUCUGACUGUUGGUAGUGUGAGAGAGCGUUGGCGAGGGAAUGGGCGACCCAGUAGACAAUCCAUGAAGGUAUUGAUGAUUGCUAUGGUUUUUGAAGUCGAGAAGUUGCAGAUUCAUUAGCCUUCUCCCUUGCAGUUCAAUAGCUUGCUGCAAUUCAGCUUGCUCCUCUAAUUUCCUUCUCAACAACAUCUCUGGAGUAUUUUGAAACAUUCUAGCUCCAAGAUGGAGGUCAAAUGGCUCCCUAGAAUCAAUUCCAAGAGGGGUAGAACAAGCUGAAUACUCUCCUCGCUCUAUCUGUUGUUGAUGCUGCUGCUGCUGCUUCUUGUCCGGGACUUUUCCCUUCUCCUUGUAAGGCUUCACAAGCACACGCGAAUCACAGACGAAAUGAGGAUUUCCUUUAGUCAAUAUAAGCUUCACUGUCUCUGGAUACACAAAUGUAACAAACCCAAACAUUCUCUUCUGCUGGUAUGGAAUCCUCACAUCUUGCACUGGCCCAUAAAUACUGAAGUAAUUUGAAACAUCUUCUUCUCUAAAAGUGCUAUCAGCUGGAAACGUCAAAUAGAUCUGUCUGGAACCUGGGUUCAUUGCCCCUCCCAAUCCCAUUGGCGAGAAAUCGUUUCUUUCAGGGCGGCAUCUCCCAAACUUGUGAAGCUCAUCCCCCAUCAUCAAUGCAGCUGCUGCAGCCGAUCUUUGGGUGUCAUUUUGUUGUUGAAGGAGGAAAUUCAUGCACUUGUUGUAAGGAAAAGAAGCUCCAGUCAUGAACUGUGAGGCUGCGGCUAGCUUUUGCUGCUGGGCAGCAGCAGCUUUGGAUCUAAGAAGUUCCUGGCACUGUUCAAACUCGCUGAGUUUACUUGGUGAGCCAACAAUGGCAGCACCAUCAGCUGAUUCCCCAUGAAGAAACCUGCAACUAGUGCCAUUCUUGCAAAACCCUCUUGCAAAAUACAAGCACGGCUUCCAUCCAAACCCGGAAUUAGAAUCUUCGGACCCAAAACACAUGCCUGGAACCGAAAAGCUUCUUCUAUGCAAAUGGGUAUCACCGUAUGUCGUUGGGCUCAUGGCUAACUCAAGCCGUGGAUCAAACAAAUCAUCGGUCUUUGAAUCAUUGAGGAAGGAGAAGUGGUCUUGAAUUUGAUACUCAUCAAUGAGAUCAUUAUUGCUGUUAUUAUUAGCGUUACUGCUGUUGUAGUAUGGGAAUGCAUUAGAUAACGGCACAGAAGACGAUAACGAUGAGGAACCAGUGCGGUUAUUACUGGUUCCAUUAACAAUACUAGCGUAUGAAAGUGAGGAAGUGGAGCUAGGAUUCAGAAGAGGCCAAGAAUUUGAUGAUGGUGAAGAUGGG
rnacentral:misc_RNA from 1 species